AUGCGGCGUCCGGAGCUGCAGCCUCUGACCCCCGAGGCUCCACCAGCUGCGCGCGUCCGGCUUGCUCUCCUGCUUGACCCGCACUCCGCGGGGUGGGGGUGGGGGUGGGGGGGCCCACAGAGCGGCCGGGCCGCCGCGGGCCGCGCCAGCUUCAGAAUCCUGCUGCCACCUAGGGAUGAGAGCGAGCGUGUCCCCGCGGGCGGCGCGGCGCCCGCCUCCGGGCCUCGUCCCCGCCCGGCCGCCCGGACAGCGCCCCCCCGCGCCCCGCCGCCGGGACCCCGAGCUGGACGCCGCGGCAGCAAGAGGAAGCACACCCUACGGCAGCGCGGAGGAGGAGGCGGAGCGAGAGCCGGGGAGCCGGGGAGCCGGGGAGCCGGGGAGCCGGGGGCGCGCACCUGCACACGCGCACACGCUGCCAGGACGCGCGCGGAGCGGGGAGGCGGCGCCGUGGCCGGGUCCCUCGGGAAGCCGGGCUGCCACAGGAACGAGCCACGCUCCAGAACAACAUAGACCAGUUUUCUUUUCUGGGGAUCAGCCAAUCUUACUUUCUCCUCAGAGGCUGUCACUUGAGGUAAGUGGAGCGAUGUA
rnacentral:lncRNA from 12 species